CACGCAUAUUUAAUUACGUUUUGGCGGGAAAGCAGCACAUGUUCAGUGAUGCCCCUCCCCCUUCCACACUCCAGGUAUUGGAAUGAUGCAUCACAACCAGAAGUUACCACAGCAACAGCAAAACAAGGCAGACUUUCCUUGGCUGCCACCCUCAACACCUACUGAUUGAGCUGUGAAGCUGAACCAGUAAAGGGUUAAAAGAGGGCGGGAUGGAGGGA